rnacentral:rRNA from 1 species
GACGAACGCUGGCGGCGUGCUUAACACAUGCAAGUCGAACGGAAAGGCCCCCAUCUUGGUGGGGGUGCUCGAGUGGCGAACGGGUGAGUAACACGUGGGUGAUCUGCCCUGUACUUCGGGAUAAGCUUGGGAAACUGGGUCUAAUACCGGAUAGGACCAUGGUUUAGUGUCUCAUGGUGGAAAGAUUAUUGUUUUGGUGCAGGAUGAGCUCGCGGCCUAUCAGCUUGUUGGUGGGGUAAUGGCCCACCAAGGCGUCGACGGGUAGCCGGCCUGAGAGGGUGGACGGCCACAUUGGGACUGAGAGACGGCCCAGACUCCUACGGGAGGCAGCAGUGGGGAAUAUUGCACAAUGGGCGCAAGCCUGAUGCAGCGACGCCGCGUGGGGGAUGACGGCCUUCGGGUUGUAAACUCCUUUCGUUAGGGACGAAGCCGCACUUUUUUUGGGUGUGGUGACGGCACCUUUGUUAAGAAGCACCGGCUAACUACGUG